rnacentral:rRNA from 1 species
UACAGAGGGUGCAAACGUUGUUCGGAAUUACUGGGCGUAAAGCGUGUGUAGGCGGCUUCGCAAGUCGGAUGUGAAAGCCCCGGGCUCAACCCGGGAAGUGCACUCGAUACUGCGGAGCUAGAGUGUCGGAGAGGUUGAUGGAAUUCUCGGUGUAGAGGUGAAAUUCGUAGAUAUCGGGAAGAACACCCGUGGCGAAGGCGGCACUCUGGGACGGUACUGACGCUGAGACGCGAAAGCGUGGGGAGCGAACAGG